rnacentral:snRNA from 1 species
GUGCUUCCUUCAGUAGCACAUACACUAAAAUUGGAAUGAUAGAGAGAAGAUUAGCAUGGCCCCUGGGCAAGGAUGACACUCAAAUUCAUGAAGCAUUCCAUAUAUGU